UCCAGUUAAACUAAUGAGAUUUUUGUUCAGAUAAGGAGGUUUCAGCUUCUUUCUCAUAAUAAUUUAUUCAUUCAGGAUGAUUAUCUAUAUAGCUUCUAUAUAGAGAAGCCUUUUGGGACUAACACCAAAUGGAGCUCAUGAUCGAAGUAGACUCCUGGAAGCUAAUGACCUGAAACGCCAACCCCACCACAGUGGGAAAAGUAUGAAGUUCAAGACGAAAUUUUGGCUACCGGUUCGCUACUUCAUGGUUCAAAGUAUUCUAGUGGUGGCAGCUCUCUUUUGGAAGUUGAACGUCGGUGGCAGUCUUCUCAUCCUAUAUUCAUUUGCAAACGGAACUUCUAAGUUGUUUAAUCUUAUUGGGACGUACACAUAAUGCCUAUUUGUGAAGACAACAUGUAUGGACUUGCUUUCAUUCAACUUAAUCCGCCAGGUUCUAGUCCAAUUUUCUUGAUGGCUUCUUGUGCUUUACUUGUAGCUUCCUCAUUAGAUAUAAUUUUGCAGAAGUCCAGUUGAAUAUUCAUAUACAUUUUUGCCUGUUAUCAAAUUUAUUCAAUUUAACUAUUAUAAAUUUUGUUCCUUCCAGUUGUAAGUAAGUUU